CCGGUUUUUUUUCAAGAUAAAUUUAAUCCGACUUGACCUGAAGAGUUGAAAACUGAUGUUUGUUCUUUCUGUCCGUGACUAUUGCAGGAGUAAGAAGUGCGCGUCGUGAACUAAGUUUGGAGGUUAAUAGUGCCUCAUAUAGGUUGAGGAAGAAAAGUUGAAAACGUGGUUGAAUUAAAAAUAUAAUAGGAGAUUAGAUUUGUUCUUAAAGAUAAUUAUUGCUACAAGAUAGUGGAUUUAGAUAGGGAAAAGUGAUAAAAAAUUGAUAAAAGGUCCGUCGAGCGGGCCUUUUAUUGUUUCCCGCUAGAAAAUCCCGGAACGUGGCAUCUACGUAACAUCCACGCGGUUCGGAAGGCUAGGUUCGAGUGGUAAAUUAUAAGCCACGUUGGUUCCACCACAAUCGCCUGGAAGGUACUAAUCCGCAUCCCCUUGCGUCACUCGGGGUAGUGCGAGGAGAAAAACGGACAGAAAAUUAGAUUCCUGCUUCUGGGAGAGCGUCUAUUGUGUUUUCGUUUCACACCAUCAAUACCCAGCAAGAAAUCGGUGAUUGAAGGAACCAGAAUCACAGGUACCGCUCACCAGCCUUUCAACAGUUAAAACCACCCGAACCAACCCAGCGUCCGAUGUACGUUCCACCGCUAUUGUCAUCGUUAAAACCACCAGCAAACACCCAACAAAUCACAGGAGGUUUUCAAUCAGAAAUCGCCGUGUAUCCAGAUCGUCGCCCAGUGGGUUAUCCCGCUGAUCAAUAUUGUUAUCGCCUGAAAGCAUCGGAUCCGUAAACGUAACGCUGCAUCGAUUGACCUCCGACCGGAGGCACAGUUCUAGUAUACAUUAAAACCGCAAGUACAGAUUGAACCGUCACAAAUGUAGGCUAAUAUGUAGGGCAAUAAAUUGUUAUAGAUGAUGAAAAUUGUUAGAGUGAUUGAUUAGACAUUAGACGUUACAUUUGCUUCGUCAACCGAUUAGUAUUCGCAUUCCGGAUCCAAAAGGGAUCACCAGCCCUCGCCUCCGAUAGUCCACCUUGGAAGAUCAAACAUCCGUAGUAAUUUGACGAAUUUAUAAAAAAGACCACUUGAAUAUCCUUUCACCUAUGUGAAUCGUCUUGCGAUAGUGAUUAAACCCCCUGUUAACGUUCCCGUACUCUGAAC